CUUGGCCGAGCCCAGCCACAGCGGCCGGUCCGCAGGCCGGCCGGUGCCGUAUGUCGCGAUGAGCGCCUGGGCCUC
rnacentral:antisense_RNA from 2 species